rnacentral:rRNA from 1 species
GAUGAACGCUAGCGGGAGGCUUAACACAUGCAAGUCGAGCGGUAGGGCAGCAAUGCCUGAGAGCGGCGCACGGGUGCGUAACGCGUAUGCAACCUGCCUUAUACAGGGGAAUAGCCCAUGGAAACGUGGAUUAAUGUCCCAUAGGAUUACGGAUUCGCAUGGAUUUGUGAUUAAAACUGAGGUGGUAUAAGAUGGGCAUGCGUCUGAUUAGGUAGUUGGUAGGGUAAUGGCCUACCAAGCCGACGAUCAGUAGGGGUUCUGAGAGGAUUACCCCCCACACUGGUACUGAGACACGGACCAGACUCCUACGGGAGGCAGCAGUGAGGAAUAUUGGUCAACGGCCGGAAGGCUGAACCAGCCAUCCCGCGUGCAGGAUGACGGCCCUAUGGGUUGUAAACUGCUUUUGUACCUGAAGAAACCUGUUUACGAGUAGACAGUUGCCGGUAAGGUAUGAAUAAGCAUCGGCUAACUCCGUGCCAGCAGCCGCCGUAAAAC